UCCAAGUGCUUAAGUUUUACUUAGGCUUUUGCCAAGUGUAAAAAGCUUGGCGAAUAAGGGGUGGGUAAGACUGGUGCCAGCCGCCGCGGUAACACCAGCGCCUCGAGUGGGGGUCGCGAUUAUUGGGUCUAAAGCGUCCGUAGCAGGCAUUGUAAAUGCUUUGUGAAAUCGGCAGGCAUAACCUGCCGGCGUGCAGAGUAGACUGCAGUGCUCGAGACCGGGAGAGGUUAGAAGUAUUCCUAGGGUACCGGUAAAAUGGGUUAAUCCUAGGAGGACUACCUAUGGCGAAGGCAUCUGACCAGAACGGUUCUGACUGUGAUGGACGAAAGCUAGGGGAGCAAAACGGAUUAGAUACCCGAGUAGUCCUAGCCGUAAACGCUGCGAGCAAGGUAUUGCGCCUCCCACGAGGAUGCGCAGUGUCGAAGAGAAGUCGUUAAGCUCGCCACCAGGGAAGUACGGUCGCAAGGCUGAAACUUUAAGGAAUUGGCGGGGGAGCGCCACAAGGGGUGCGGCGUGCGGUUCAAUCUAACUCAACGCAGAGAACCUCACUAGGCCCGACGGCAGAAUGAAGGUCAUGCUGAAGACAUUACCUGACAAGCCGAGAGGUAGUGCAUGGCCGUCGCCAGCUCGUGCUGUGAAGUGUCCAGUUAAGUCUGGCAACGAACGAGACCUGUACUCUCUAUUGCUAACGACCACAUGUGGGAUCGAGCACUUUGAGAGGACUGCCCUGGAAACGGGGAGGAAGGUGCAGGCUACGGUAGGUCUGUAUGCUCCGAAUGGUCUAGGCUACACGCGCGCAACAAUGAUAGGGACAAUGGGAUGCCACUCCGAAAGGAGGAGCUAAGCCUCUAAACCCUAUCCUAGUACAGAUCGAGGCUUGUAACUCAGCCUCGUGACGUUGGAAUCCCUAGUAAUCGGAUGUCAUCAUCGUCCGGUGAAUAUGUCCCCG
rnacentral:rRNA from 1 species